UGGGCUUUGGCCAAAGGAAGAGAAAGUCAUACCACCUGGCCGCUUGGAAGCAGACAAAAACUUGCAAAAAGGUGGGCAAGAAAACACUUUGCUAUCAUUGCUCCAGCAUGUUUUUAUCCAAUGUAUUUUCUUUCACAGAUUGUCUCAAGGUGCAAGCUUCCAGGAUUUUUAGAUGGAAUUUGCAUCGUGGCUGGUUAUAGUUUCUCCAGUGGCCUGUCUUCUGGAGUUAGCAAUUCUCACAAAUACGAUGUGAUUCCUUAUGGCACUUCACUGCUGAUGAUUCAUGUGUCUUGUAUGUACACUGGGAGUGGAUUGCUGGGAAGAGUAUGGGCUGCGCUCCUCUCUCUCCUAAUGCAUGUGUGGAUAACACCCUUACCAGAAUCAGAAGGGGAGGGCCAUGACUUGCCCUAUGUGUGAGCAGACAUGAGACCCAGGAGGUUUGACAAAGGCAGUGUGACGUCUUCAACAGCAUCUCAUAAAACUCAGAGAUGUGCAGCAACAAACUCAGUUCCAAAUUCCAUGGUCACCAGUACCUGGGUGUUCAUCUUGUCACCACUCCUCAGGAUUUCAUCAUUAAACUUGCCCAGAUAAUUACCCUUGGAUGAGGUCAAGGUUCUGAUUCUUACUCAAGAAAACAAAAUAUCACUGACAGCUUUGCCCAGCUGUAUGUUUUAGCAUUUCCAGAUGUUUGAAUCAAAAAAAUACUGGCAACAAUGUGCUGUCCAAACAGAAAGGAAAUGAAAUGUGCAGACUGUUUUCUAAACAUUUCAAAGACCCUGGAAAUCUAGCCAGCACCAAAAUCAAUAUUUGUAUUUUAGUCUCUGCUUAAUUUGAACUAUUAGAGCCUGCAUCAAAGAUAAAAGCCAUCUGAAGUUGAAUUUGUUUUUUUUGCCAUUAUUAUUUUUGUCCAUAUUACUUUUUUCCUAAAACACUUUGGCGGAAGCAGAUAUUUGAUUUAAAUGUUUUAUGUUCAAAAGCAAUAUUGUUUUUUUUGUUUAAAACUGGGAAUGUAUAUUGAAAGUUCUGUACAUAAUACAUCAUCUUAUUGUGUAUGGUUUAAUAGUCUUUUAAUUUUUUUAAUGUAAUGAACCUAAAUCAAAGACAAUUGGUACAAAUUUGUACUAAUUUGGUACAUAUAUUUGUGUGAAUGUAUAUCCUUGAAUAACAAAAUGAAGCUAUAAUGCUUAGCAAAAUGCUAUAAUAGACAUGCUUUGACUUUUUUGACCUCAUUAAAAAUGACAGUAAGAAAUAAUAAGUUAUAUUAUGCAAUCAUAACAGUAGUCCAUGUUAAUUUAUAACUUGGCUCUCUGAUUAUUUCACCCAACCAGAAUGUAAGAGAAAGUGAGAAAUUAAGGGGAAAUAAGUGGCCACUGUGUAGACUAAAUAGACAUAUCAAAAGUCAAAACACAUGUGCUUUUAGGGAUCAUUUUGGGAUUUCACUCAGAGCUGAUUUACUCUUAAUUUAUGUGUAAUCCUAACCAAUUUGCUUUCAAACACAUGGUGGAAGAGAAAGAAUCUUAGUGGGAGUUAGAAAUAGUUAUUUUUAUAAAUAUAAAUAAAAACAAAAUUUUUAUUACGAAAGAAGUGACC
rnacentral:lncRNA from 13 species